AUUGAACGCUGGCGGCAGGCCUAACACAUGCAAGUCGAACGAGUGGCGGACGGGUGAGUAAUGUCUGGGAAACUGCCCGAUGGAGGGGGAUAACUACUGGAAACGGUAGCUAAUACCGCCUACCAUCGGAUGUCCCCAGAUGGGAUUAGCUAGUCGGUGGGGUUAUGGCUCACCUAGCCGACGAUCCCUCGCUGUUCUGAGAGGAUGACGUGCCACACUGGAACUGAGACACAGUGCAGACGCCUACGGUAGGGACCAGUGGGGAAUAUUGCACAAUGGGCGCAGGCCUGAUGCAGGCAUGGCGCGUGUAUGAAGAAGGCCAUAGGGUUGUGAAACACUUUCGGCGAGUAGGGGUUACUCGUAGAAGAAGCACCGGCUAACUCCGUGCCGGCCGCCGCGGUAAUUC
rnacentral:rRNA from 1 species